AGCACUUACUGCUCCCCCUUCUUCGUCCCGCCAGAAGCCCUGCUUGCGCCUUCCUGUGGAGCCAAAGGGAGAAGAGAUGAAGCAGAAGUAUAACAUGCAUCCAGAGAAGUGCAAAGACUUGGGCAUUUUACAAAGUGAAUAUCCCCAGCACCGAGAUCAAGAAACACUAUAAUCAGGAUCCAGAAGUCCCCCCAAAUAUCAGAGGCAAAGACUUCUGAAGCCCAGUGCUCCAACUUGAGAAAGCUGUGGAGGCUGUGGUUCAGGCCCGGGGAAUGAGCGUGGAUGAAGUAGAAUAGUAUGCUGACUAGACCAGUGCUUCUCAAACUGCAGUGUGCCACUGAAUGACCCAGGCGUCUGGUUGAAAGGCAGGUUCUGAUUCAGCAAGCUGGGAAGGGGAUGCUGCGAUUCUACAUUUCUGUCAAUCUCCUACACUUGAGAAAGAGCCAGAUGAGUCCAGAGAUUACAAACCCUGGAUCAACAUGGACUAUUCAGGAUGAAGCGCCAUGGUCCUGGGUUCUGACGCCCUCUGGUGGACACCUAGAGUUGAAGUUGGUAACCAACAAACAGACUACCGCGUCCAGCAUAAUGCCCUCCAAGUCCAUCCACGUUGCUGCACAUGGCAAAAUUUUGUUCUCUUUUAUGGGUCACUUCUCCAGGCUUUACUCCCAUCCACAGUCUGUUUGCCUGUGUUUACUUUUUAAGUCCUCAGGAUGUACACCACCAAGAGUGAAUCAUAAUGUCAACUAUGGACGAUAAUGAUGUGUCAAGUUAGAUUCAUUGAUUGUGACAAAG